rnacentral:rRNA from 1 species
GAUGAACGCUGGCGGCGUGCCUAAUACAUGCAAGUCGAGCGAACAGACUGGGAGCUUGCUCCUCUCACGUUAGCGGCGAGCGUGUGUGUAACGCGUGGAACACCUACCUAUCAGACGGGUAGCACUUCGGGAAACGGGAGCAAAUACCGUAUAAUAUAUUGAACCGCAUGGUUCAUUGGUAAAAGACGGUGUUUCUGUCACGUAUAUAUGGAUACGCGCCGCAUUAGCUAGUUGGUAAGGUAACGGCGUACCAAGGCAACGAGGCGUAGCCGACCUGAGCGGGUGAUCGGCCACCCUGGCACUGAGACACGGUCACGAGCCCUACGGGAGGCAGCAGUAGGGAAUCGUCAGAAAUGGGCGAAAGCCUGACGGAGCACCGGCGAGUGAGUGAUGAAGGUCUUCGGAUUGUAAAACUCUGUUAUUAGGGAAGAACAAAUAUGUAAGCAACUAUGCACGUAUUGAAGGUAACUAAUCAGAAAGCCACGGCUAACUACGUG